rnacentral:rRNA from 1 species
AAACCGGGGAUUAAUACCGCAUGAUAUCGUAGAAACACAUGUUUUAACGGUCAAAGAUUUAUCGGUCAUAGAUGGGCUCGCGUCUGAUUAGCUAGUUGGUGAGAUAACAGCCCACCAAGGCGACGAUCAGUAGCCGGUCUGAGAGGAUGAACGGCCACAUUGGAACUGAGACACGGUCCAA